UUAGAAACGUGCGCCGCUAGGCGCACAACGCAGAAACACCCCUGCAUGGACGCAGGGGUGAGGAGAACCGCGCCACGGACGGCGCGUUUCGACGGUUUCGUCAAGCAUAGAAACCCAUCAAGCAUAAUUUCGUACAGAAUCUU
rfam:[Eubacterium rectale] ATCC 33656 chromosome, complete genome.